UACGGAGGGGGCGAGCGUUAUUCGGAAUUAUUGGGCGUAAAGGGCGCGUAGGCGGCUGUACAAGUCAAAGGUGAAAUCCCUCGGCUCAACUGAGGAACUGCCUUUGAAACUGUACGGCUUGAGGCCGGGAGGGGGUAGCGGAAUUCCCAGUGUAGCGGUGAAAUGCGUAGAUACUGGGAGGAACACCAGUGGCGAAGGCGGCUACCUGGACCGGUUCUGACGCUGAGGCGCGAAAGCGUGGGUAGCUAACAGG
rnacentral:rRNA from 1 species